AGCGUUUGUCUUAUCGACCAGAAAAAUUGACCCGAUACCAAACUGAACGGCAACGCCAUAUUCCAUUAUAGCUGUUUCGUAGUACAAGUUUCAGGUCGGUGAGGCACGUAUCCCCGGAGAAAAUACCGACAUUGAAUUGCUCCGUAUCCAGAUCCUCCACGUACCUGCCCAGCAGGCGGUUCAAAAAUGCCGCUAUAGCCCCCUCGAACAUCGUCACCGUCGUCGUCGUCUGCCCCGAGGAGUCCCUUGAGCACCAGUGCCGCUUUCUAUUUGUCACGCAAGCCAGACGACGAGAUCAUAUGGGAUCAACCUGGACCCCGGUCAUCGCCAUAACCUCCUCGGGACUGUUGCAAUUCGCAAAA